AAUGAACGUUGGCGGCAUGGAUUAGGCAUGCAAGUCGAGCGCGAAACGUAGCAAUACGUGGAGAGCGGCGAAAGGGAGAGGAAUAUGUGGGAACCUACCUUCGGGCCUGGAAUAGCGGCGGGAAACUGCCGGUAAUGCCAGAUAACGUCCCCGGACCAAAGGUGUGAUUCCGCCUGGAGAUGGGCCCACAUCCUAUCAGCUUGUUGGUGUGGUAACGGCGCACCAAGGCUAAGACGGGUAUGGGGUGUGAGAGCAUGCCCCCACUCACUGGGACUGAGACACUGCCCAGAAACCUACGGGUGGCUGCAGUCGAGAAUCUUCGGCAAUGAGCGCAAGCUUGACCGAGCGAUGCCGCGUGCGGGAUGAAGGCCCUCGGGUUGUAAACCGCUGUCGUAGGGGAAUAACGGUCGGUGGGUUCUCCCAUCGAUUUGAAUGAUCCUAGGAGGAAGGACGGGCUAAGUUCGUG
rnacentral:rRNA from 1 species